CGAACCGGGGGAACUGAAACAUCUAAGUACCCCGAGGAAAAGAAAUCAACCGAGAUUCCCCCAGUAGCGGCGAGCGAACGGGGAGGAGCCCAGAGCCUGAAUCAGUGUGUGUGUUAGUGGAAGCGUCUGGAAAGGCGCGCGAUACAGGGUGACAGCCCCGUACACAAAAAUGCACAUAUUGUGAGCUCGAUGAGUAGGGCGGGACACGUGGUAUCCUGUCUGAAUAUGGGGGGACCAUCCUCCAAGGCUAAAUACUCCUGACUGACCGAUAGUGAACCAGUACCGUGAGGGAAAGGCGAAAAGAACCCCGGCGAGGGGAGUGAAAAAGAACCUGAAACCGUGUACGUACAAGCAGUGGGAGCCUCUUUAUGGGGUGACUGCGUACCUUUUGUAUAAUGGGUCAGCGACUUAUAUUCUGUAGCAAGGUUAACCGAAUAGGGGAGCCGAAGGGAAACCGAGUCUUAACUGGGCGUUAAGUUGCAGGGUAUAGACCCGAAACCCGGUGAUCUAGCCAUGGGCAGGUUGAAGGUUGGGUAACACUAACUGGAGGACCGAACCGACUAAUGUUGAAAAAUUAGCGGAUGACUUGUGGCUGGGGGUGAAAGGCCAAUCAAACCGGGAGAUAGCUGGUUCUCCCCGAAAGCUAUUUAGGUAGCGCCUCGUGAAUUCAUCUCCGGGGGUAGAGCACUGUUUCGGCAAGGGGGUCAUCCCGACUUACCAACCCGAUGCAAACUGCGAAUACCGGAGAAUGUUAUCACGGGAGACACACGGCGGGUGCUAACGUCCGUCGUGAAGAGGGAAACAACCCAGACCGCCAGCUAAGGUCCCAAAGUCAUGGUUAAGUGGGAAACGAUGUGGGAAGGCCCAGACAGCCAGGAUGUUGGCUUAGAAGCAGCCAUCAUUUAAAGAAAGCGUAAUAGCUCACUGGUCGAGUCGGCCUGCGCGGAAGAUGUAACGGGGCUAAACCAUGCACCGAAGCUGCGGCAGCGACACUAUGUGUUGUUGGGUAGGGGAGCGUUCUGUAAGCCUGUGAAGGUGGCCUGUGAGGGUUGCUGGAGGUAUCAGAAGUGCGAAUGCUGACAUAAGUAACGAUAAAGCGGGUGAAAAGCCCGCUCGCCGGAAGACCAAGGGUUCCUGUCCAACGUUAAUCGGGGCAGGGUGAGUCGACCCCUAAGGCGAGGCCGAAAGGCGUAGUCGAUGGGAAACAGGUUAAUAUUCCUGUACUUGGUGUUACUGCGAAGGGGGGACGGAGAAGGCUAUGUUGGCCGGGCGACGGUUGUCCCGGUUUAAGCGUGUAGGCUGGUUUUCCAGGCAAAUCCGGAAAACCAAGGCUGAGGCGUGAUGACGAGGCACUACGGUGCUGAAGCGACAAAUGCCCUGCUUCCAGGAAAAGCCUCUAAGCAUCAGGUAACAUCAAAUCGUACCCCAAACCGACACAGGUGGUCAGGUAGAGAAUACCAAGGCGCUUGAGAGAACUCGGGUGAAGGAACUAGGCAAAAUGGUGCCGUAACUUCGGGAGAAGGCACGCUGAUAUGUAGGUGAAGCGACUUGCUCGUGGAGCUGAAAUCAGUCGAAGAUACCAGCUGGCUGCAACUGUUUAUUAAAAACACAGCACUGUGCAAACACGAAAGUGGACGUAUACGGUGUGACGCCUGCCCGGUGCCGGAAGGUUAAUUGAUGGGGUUAGCGGCAACGCGAAGCUCUUGAUCGAAGCCCCGGUAAACGGCGGCCGUAACUAUAACGGUCCUAAGGUAGCGAAAUUCCUUGUCGGGUAAGUUCCGACCUGCACGAAUGGCGUAAUGAUGGCCAGGCUGUCUCCACCCGAGACUCAGUGAAAUUGAACUCGCUGUGAAGAUGCAGUGUACCCGCGGCAAGACGGAAAGACCCCGUGAACCUUUACUAUAGCUUGACACUGAACAUUGAGCCUUGAUGUGUAGGAUAGGUGGGAGGCUUUGAAGUGUGGACGCCAGUCUGCAUGGAGCCGACCUUGAAAUACCACCCUUUAAUGUUUGAUGUUCUAACGUUGGCCCGUAAUCCGGGUUGCGGACAGUGUCUGGUGGGUAGUUUGACUGGGGCGGUCUCCUCCUAAAGAGUAACGGAGGAGCACGAAGGUUGGCUAAUCCUGGUCGGACAUCAGGAGGUUAGUGCAAUGGCAUAAGCCAGCUUGACUGCGAGCGUGACGGCGCGAGCAGGUGCGAAAGCAGGUCAUAGUGAUCCGGUGGUUCUGAAUGGAAGGGCCAUCGCUCAACGGAUAAAAGGUACUCCGGGGAUAACAGGCUGAUACCGCCCAAGAGUUCAUAUCGACGGCGGUGUUUGGCACCUCGAUGUCGGCUCAUCACAUCCUGGGGCUGAAGUAGGUCCCAAGGGUAUGGCUGUUCGCCAUUUAAAGUGGUACGCGAGCUGGGUUUAGAACGUCGUGAGACAGUUCGGUCCCUAUCUGCCGUGGGCGCUGGAGAACUGAGGGGGGCUGCUCCUAGUACGAGAGGACCGGAGUGGACGCAUCACUGGUGUUCGGGUUGUCAUGCCAAUGGCACUGCCCGGUAGCUAAAUGCGGAAGAGAUAAGUGCUGAAAGCAUCUAAGCACGAAACUUGCCCCGAGAUGAGUUCUCCCUGAGACUUAGAGUCUCCUGAAGGAACGUUGAAGACGACGACGUUGAUAGGCCGGGUGUGUAAGCGCAGCGAUGCGUUGAGCUAACCGGUACUAAUGAACCGUGAG
rnacentral:rRNA from 1 species